CAGCUGGCCGGUUCUCGCUUUUGUUCGAGCUGCCUUUUGGAGCAAACUCCUGAGAAAAACGGGAAAGCAAUUGGCUUUGGGAGAUGCUUGGAAGAAUUAGCUGGAAUUCGGACACUAAUCCUACCCGGGUGACUUCCGGGAAGUAGCUCGGCAGGGUUCACAGUCGGAGUGCAGGCUCCCUGUGCUUCCAGAGUGCUGUUUUACUUUGGCCCACACCUUUUGCUUUUUGCUAUGGCCAAGAAAUAAGUGGUCCAGGAGUGCCAAAGCAUUUCCAGAGAUCAGAUUUGAAUUCGAGGAGCUCGAACCAGAUGAAAGCUCCCCGUGCUGCGGGAACACGCGAGACCAAAUGUGUUUUUUGACCAGUUGUAACGUUUCCCUUGGGUCGAGUCCCCAGAGGAGCGCAGUCGAUGAAAGCCUUCCGCUGCCCCCAGCACAGCACAGCGCCUGCUGGGCUCCGGUGAGCCGGGGUGCACGAGGUGAAAGUGCUGUUGCACAAGAGGUGGCUCUGCUCGCUGACCCCGGCUCACUUUGCCCGGCCGUCCGAGGGAGCUCAGCGCCGAGCGGCGCCUGUUCCCCGUGCAGCCGGUGGGGAAAUGUGGGGCGUCACCAUAGAGAUGGGCUCUGCUUCCACUGGAACUGGAGGUGAUUUGGCUGCAGAGAUGUGAGUGCUGCGGCCUCCACUGAUCGCUGCGAACAGCUUGUGGCUUCCUGCUGCGGCAGCGUGAGGGAGAGCUUUUUCAGCUCUUAUCAAAGGCUUUUCUUCUGCGGAGCUUCCUUUCAUCUCCUGGUCUUUAUGCGUGUCCACCCCAGGAGCUUUGAAACAAA